UACGUAGGGGGCAAGCGUUGUCCGGAUUUAUUGGGCGUAAAGAGCUCGUAGGUGGUUCGGUAAGUCGGAUGUGAAAUCUCCAGGCUCAACCUGGAGGGGUCAUUCGAUACUGCCGUGACUAGAGUUCGGUAGGGGAGUGUGGAAUUCCUGGUGGAGCGGUGAAAUGCGCAGAUAUCAGGAGGAACACCCGUAGCGAAGGCGGCACUCUGGACGGUGACUGACGCUGAGGCGCGAAAGCGUGGGGAGCAAACGGG
rnacentral:rRNA from 1 species